rnacentral:rRNA from 1 species
UACGUAGGGCGCAAGCGUUGUCCGGAAUUAUUGGGCGUAAAGAGCUCGUAGGCGGUCUGUCGCGUCUGCCGUGAAAAACCCCGAGGCUUAACCUCGGGCUGGCGGUGGAUACGGGCAGACUAGAGGUAGGUAGGGGAGAAUGGAAUUCCCGGUGUAGCGGUGAAAAUGCGCAGAUAUCAGGAGGAACACCGAUGGCGAAGGCAGGUCUCUGGGCCACUACUGACGCUGAGAAGCGAAAAGCAUGGGGGAGCGAACAGG